rnacentral:rRNA from 1 species
GAUGAACGCUGGCGGCGUGCUUAACACAUGCAAGUCUAACGGUGAAGCCCAGCAUGCUGGGUGGAUCAGUGGCGAACGGGUGAGUAACACGUGAGCAACCUGCACCUGACUAUGGGAUAAGCGCUGGAAACGGCGUCUAAUACCGGAUAUUUGCUCCUGCCGCAUGGUGGGGGGUGGAAAGAUUUUUUGGUUGGGGAUGGGCUCGCGGCCUAUCAGCUUGUUGGUGAGGUAAUGGCUCACCAAGGCGUCGACGAGUAGCCGGCCUGAGAGGGUGACCGGCCACACUGGGACUGAGACACGGCCCAGACUCCUACGGGAGGCAGCAGUGGGGAAUAAUGCACAAUGGGCGGAAGCCUGAUGCAGCAACGCCGCGUGAGGGAUGACGGCCUUCGGGUUGUAAACCUCUUUUAGCAAGGAAGAAGCUUUUGUGACGGUACUUGCAGAAAAAGCGCCGGCUAACUACGUGCCAGCAGCCGCAGUAACAC